rnacentral:rRNA from 1 species
GAAGGUUGAGCCCGCGGGGGAUCGGCUUGUUGGUGGGGUAAUGGCCCACCAAGGCGACGACGGGUAGCCGGCCUGAGAGGGCGACCGGCCACACUGGGACUGAGACACGGCCCAGACUCCUACGGGAGGCAGCAGUGGGGAAUAUUGCACAAUGGGCGAAAGCCUGAUGCAGCGACGCCGCGGGAGGGAUGACGGCCUUCGGGUUGUAAACCUCUUUCAGCAGGGAAGAAGCGAAAGUGACCGUACCUGCAGAAGAAGCGCCGGCUAACUACGUGCCAGCAGCCGCGGUAAUACGUAGGGCGCAAGCGUUGUCCGGAAUUAUUGGGCGUAAAGAGCUCGUAGGCGGCUUGUCACGUCGGGUGUGAAAGCCCGGGGCUUAACCCCGGGUCUGCAUCCGAUACGGGGCAGGCUAGGAGUGUGGUAGGGGAGAUCGGAAUUCCUGGUGUAGCGGGUGAAAUGCGCAGAUAUCAGGAGGAACACCGGUGGCGAGAGGCGGAUCUCUGGGGCCAUUACUGACGCUGAGGAGCGAAAGCGGUGGGGGAGCGAACAGGAUUAGAUACCCUGGUAGUCCACGCCCGUAAACGUUGGGGAACUAGGUGUUGGGCGACUUUCCACGGUCGUCGGUGCCGCAGCUAAACGCUAUUUAGGUUUCCCCGUCCUGGGG